AUUGAACGCUGGCGGAAUGCUUUACACAUGCAAGUCGAACGGUAACAGGUCUUCGGAUGCUGACGAGUGGCGAACGGGUGAGUAAUAUAUCGGAACGUACCUUAUCGUGGGGGAUAACGCAGCGAAAGCUGUGCUAACUACCGCAUACGCCCUGAGGGGGAAAGCGGGGGAUCGAAAGACCUCGCGCGAUUAGAGCGGCCGAUGCCUGAUUAGCUUGUUGGUGGGGUAAAAGCCCACCAAGGCGACGAUCAGUAGCUGGUCUGAGAGGACGAUCAGCCACACUGGGACUGAGACACGGCCCAGACUCCUACGGGAGGCAGCAGUGGGGAAUUUUGGACAAUGGGCGAAAGCCUGAUCCAGCAAUGCCGCGUGAGUGAUGAAGGCCUUAGGGUUGUAAAGCACUUUCAGCGAGGAGGAAAGGUCAGUAGCUAAUAUCUGCUGGCUGUGACGUUACUCGCAGAAGAAGCACCGGCUAACUCCGUG
rnacentral:rRNA from 1 species